AGUGAACGCUGGCGGUAUGCCUAACACAUGCAAGUCGAACGGCAGCACAGUAAGAGCUUGCUCUUACGGUUGGCGAGUGGCGGACGGGUGAGGAAUACAUCGGAAUCUACUUUUUCGUGGGGGAUAACGUAGGGAAACUUACGCUAAUACCGCAUACGACCUACGGGUGAAAUCAGGGGAUCUUCGGACCUUGCGCGAUUGAAUGAGCUGAUGUCGGAUUAGCUAGUUGGCGGGGUAAAGGCCCACCGAGGCGACGAUCCGUAGCUGGUCUGAGAGGAUGAUCAGCCACACUGGAACUGAGACACGGUCCAGACUCCUACGGGAGGCAGCAGUGGGGAAUAUUGGACAAUGGGCGAAAGCCUGAUCCAGCCAUACCGCGUGGGUGAAGAAGGCCUUCGGGUUGUAAAGCCCUUUUGUUGGGAAAGAAAAGCAGCAGGUUAAUCCACCGCUGUUCUGACGGUACCCAAAGAAUAAGCACCGGCUAACUUCGUG
rnacentral:rRNA from 1 species